rnacentral:misc_RNA from 1 species
AUUACCCAUUCCCAGAAACUUUCUUUCACCUUGCUACCGCAAUAUAUUGUACAGCGGCUGAUCUCCAAUCGCACGCGUAAUACUUUAUUCUGUUUUGAGAUGAAAGGCGGCAAAUACCACUAAGGCACUAAGGCACUAAGGCAAGAGGAACAUUUGAAUUAAAAUAUAGAUCUCCUUUAACACCAAAACCGAUUUUGGGCUGUACCUUUCACUUAACCAUUCUCAAUUUAUUUUGAACGACUAGAUUAUAUUUAUUCUGAGAAAGUCAAACAUAACUUAAUAAUGAAGGACGUUCGGAUAUUGCUGGUUGGCGACCCACAAGUCGGGAAAACGUCGCUUAUUCUGUCGCUUGUAAGCGAGGAAUUUCCUGAAGAGGUCCCUGCCAGGGCAGAAGAAAUCACUAUACCAGCUGAUGUGACACCUGAAAAGGUCCCAACACAUAUUGUGGACUUUUCUGAACUUGAUCAGUCGGAAGAUAUGCUGAUUGAUGAGAUUGUUAAGGCCAAUGUAGUGUGCGUGGUUUAUGAUGUCACCUCAGAAGAAUCACUUGAAAGGAUAACUUCUUUUUGGUUACCCCUGAUCAGACAAACUGGAGAGGAAGAUAGUUCAAAGCCUGUUAUUAUCGUUGGCAACAAGUCAGACCUUAUGGAGGGAAGCACAAUGGAUACUGUCUUACCAAUAAUGAAUGAUUAUACAGAAGUGGAAACUUGUGUGGAGUGCUCAGCAAAGGAUCUGAAAAAUAUAUCUGAGAUGUUUUACUAUGCACAGAAGGCAGUCCUUCAUCCUACAGCUCCUCUCUUCUCCGCUGAAACCAAGGAGUUAAAGCCAUUAUGCCAGGCUGCCCUCACAAGAGUUUUUAAGAUAUCAGAUAAAGAUAAUGAUGGCUUAUUGAGUGACAACGAAUUGAAUGAGUUCCAGAACCGAUGUUUCAAUACCCCAUUGCAAGGUCAAGGUUUACAGGAUGUUAAAAAUGUUGUCAGAAAGAAUGUUGAGGGAGGAUUGCAAGAUGGUGGACUUACAUUAAGAGGUUUCUUGUUUCUUCACACACUCUUUAUCCAGAGGGGGAGACAUGAAACAACAUGGACUGUUCUCAGAAAGUUUGGAUAUGGUGAUGAUCUUAAGCUCAGACCUGAUUAUUUAUGUCCUACGAUUGACAUGGGAGCAGAUCAAACAGUGGAAUUAUCAGAUGCAGGAUAUCAGUUUCUUAUUGACCUCUUCCAGAGACAUGACAAGGAUGAAGAUGAAGCCCUGCGUCCGGAGGAACUUCAGGCACUGUUUGGUACCUGCCCCACAAUGCCUUGGGGUGAAGAUGUUCUUAGUUCUGUUGAAACUAAUGCAAAUGGAUGGAUAACUCUCCAAGGAUUUCUAGCUCAGUGGGCGUUAACGACUUUCUUGGAUUACACCAGAAUGUUAGCAUAUUUAGCAUUCUUUGGUUACGUUCAUCAGGAAAUUGAAGCUUCCCUUUCCACUGCAAUAACGGUUACUCGAAGCAAAGCUGUUGACUUACAGAAGAAACAGACAUCUCGCUCUGUAUUCCAGUGUUACGUAUUUGGACCACCAGGCGUAGGAAAGACAUCUUUCCUUCAGGCAUUUUUAGGGCGAACCCUUGAGCCUGGCGAAUUAGAGAAGGAAUUAUCAAACUAUGCCAUUAAUCUACUUGAAGUGAACAGGCAAGAAAAAUACUUAGUGGUGAGUAGAAGGACUAAACUUCCUAUAACCUGCGUUAUAUCGGUACACUCGAGUAGACAAGGUGUUCUCUUUGCGACAAGUUUACUUGUGAAUUCUUUCAGAGUGGGGACCUUUUUAAGCGCCAGUCAGGCGAAUUUCCUUUUUGUGACCGGUUUUGUUGUCGCUCUCAGUGUUUUUAUGGUAAGUUGGUCAUCAGUUCAUGGGAAGAAUUUGUAGAUCUCUCUGUAGGGGUGAAAUAUUACCAACGGAUUAAUGGCUGUCCUCGUUCCAGCAAGUGCUGAGUGGUCAUUUUCGUGAUCAGCCGCUUUGAUGAACAUUUUUUCAAGCUACGUGAAAUCGAAUGGGAAAAUUCUGGAUUUCUGUUGCACGACAGACGAUGUGAUGUGGCCUGUUUUAUUUAUGAC